rnacentral:rRNA from 1 species
UGGCGGACGGGUGAGUAACGCGUGGGUAACCUGCCGUAUGCAGGGGGAUAACACUUAGAAAUAGGUGCUAACACCGCAUAAGCGCACGAGAGCGCAUGCUUUUGUGUGAAAAACUCCGGUGGCAUACGAUGGACCCGCGUCGGAUUAGCCAGUUGGCAGGGUAACGGCCUACCAAAGCGACGAUCAGUAGCCGGCCUGAGAGGGCGGACGGCCACAUUGGGACUGAGACACGGCCCAAACUCCUACGGAAGGCAGCAG